rnacentral:rRNA from 1 species
UACGUAUGGUGCAAGCGUUAUCCGGAUUUACUGGGUGUAAAGGGAGCGUAGGUGGCAAGGCAAGCCAGAAGUGAAAACCCGGGGCUCAACCGCGGGAUUGCUUUUGGAACUGUCAUGCUAGAGUGCAGGAGGGGUGAGCGGAAUUCCUAGUGUAGCGGUGAAAUGCGUAGAUAUUAGGAGGAACACCGGAGGCGAAGGCGGCUCACUGGACUGUAACUGACACUGAGGCUCGAAAGCGUGGGGAGCAAACA